AUUGAACGCUGGCGGCAGGCCUAACACAUGCAAGUCGAACGGUAACAGGAAACAGCUUGCUGUUUCGCUGACGAGUGGCGGACGGGUGAGUAAUGUCUGGGAAACUGCCUGAUGGAGGGGGAUAACUACUGGAAACGGUAGCUAAUACCGCAUAACGUCGCAAGACCAAAGAGGGGGACCUUCGGGCCUCUUGCCCUCGGAUGUGCCCCGAUGGGAUUAGCUAGUAGGUGGGGUAACGGCUCACCUAGGCGACGAUCCCUAGCUGGUCUGAGAGGAUGACCAGCCACACUGGAACUGAGACACGGUCCAGACUCCUACGGGAGGCAGCAGUGGGGAAUAUUGCACAAUGGGCGCAAGCCUGAUGCAGCCAUGCCGCGUGUAUGAAGAAGGCCUUCGGGUUGUAAAGUACUUUCAGCGGGGAUGAAGGGAGUAAAGUUAAUACCUUUGCUCAUUGACGUUACCCGCAGAAGAAGCACCGGCUAACUCCGUG
rnacentral:rRNA from 1 species